AUCCGUACGGUGAGCACAAAGCGAACUAUUCUUUCGCCUUUUACUAAAGAAUACCGUGUGCUCGCCAUUUACAGCGGCGUACAACUAUUUUUGGAGGGGCUGUACUCUCUCGAGUGCG